UGGUCGUACUCAAUAGAAGGAGCUUGCCAUGCUUCUAUGCCACUGUCUGGGAAUGGCCCAGCAGCUGGAAGUCUUGGGCUGCAGUAUACAUUUUGUUCAGGGACUCAAUAUAAGGGGCCAAAUCACAUAAUCCUGUAAGCACACAAGAGCUACUUGCCCCUCCUGUUGCCCUUGAUCUUUAUUCUUCCCAUCCUAAGCUAUCACUUUAGUUUCUCUAAAGUUGAAAUCAUAUGAUCACUUUUGUACAAAAAAAACCCCAGAUAGUCCUUCAACACUCCAGAUUCCUAGGCAGGGAUUCCUACCCACCUACCAGAAUGGCCAGCAGGGAUGAGAAAGUUCAGAAUCUGGUCUACCCACGAGAUCCAUACCUCUUGUUUCAUAUCUGUGCAUUUCAUUUUCAUUAAAAUCCGAUUGCCUGGUGUUAAAGUAUUUUCUUCAGGAACAAUUUAUGGUGUUGUGUAGGGAUAGGCAAAAUGGGUUAGAAUCGCCAUGUCAUGUGGAUUUAAGAUUCAUUUUCUCACUCAGUCGAAUUCCUAACUAGCUUAAAGGGACUAUUCUGCACUGAGCAAAAAUGCUCCGAAUGUUUACCUUGUUUGCUGAUUCUAAAAUGCUGUCAAAUUCAGAUGGUCUUGGUGAAUUUGGAAUUGUCCAUGUCACAACCCACCUCAAUAUUUGGCAGUAAACAAAUAUGUUGAGUGUUGGUUUAAAAUCUCCUGACUUGAAUUUUCAGACAAAACAAGGUCAAAGAACAAAUAAUGCACCAGAUAAACUAAGAGCAAAGGUCAAUGGUUUCUAAUGCUGGGUGAUCAAUAUGCAAAGCUUUGGGAUUUUGUUGGCAUGCGGGGUGGGAGAAACGCACAUCUUAUAGGUCGGAUAUUUCCAAAGGGACCUUCUUUUAAACUAUUUCUUUCAACAGACAAACACCUUCCAAACGACAAAAGCCUUGAAGUCUAUGGCACAAGAGACAUGCAAAAGUCAUUAAGGCUUAUCCCAAGAGACCUUCUGGAGUUACUUCACAUUGGAGUGGGUGUAAGUCUGCUUAAAAUUAAAUUACCUUAAAAUAAAGUUAGAGCGCUAAGCAAUAUCCUGCCUUCAACCCAGCAGGGUUUCCCGUGAGAAAAGAAAGUAGGCAAAGAGAGCUUAGACAGACAGACAAACAUAUUUACCCCUAGGUGGAAGGUACAAAUUAAAUUAGCUUGCCACAAAAGGGGGAUGUUUUCUCCUUCUGUUCAGAUGUCAUGGUAGUGAGGAAACAUAGUCUUGGGGCCAAGAAAAAUGGCACAGAUGCAUUCAUCUAAACUACCAUUCAUCCUGUUCCAAGGUCUAAACAGCACACAUAAAAGAACAGCGCUGUUGAGCUACUUCCUCUCCUUAGUUACCAAGUGGGGGCUUGCACAGGAAUAGGGGAGCAGAGGGUGCUGAUUUUUCCAGAAGGUUUCAGCGUUGCAAUGGAGAGUGAUUGAAGAGGUUAUCAACCUGAUGAAACCUGGAGUAAGAAUAUCACAAAUAAACCUUGAUUUCGUACUUUGUGUCAGAAUAUACAAUACUAGACUAGAUGGGGAAAUAGCUUCCUAUGUUCCUGCUUCUACAGCUGUCCCUACAGUUGCAUCAGGAGGAAAACACAGUGGCUGUGAACCAACCCUCUUCCCCAACCUGGUGUUCUCUAGAUCUUUUGGACUACAACUCCAAUCAGCCUCUGCCAGCAUGGCAUUUUGGAUGUCUCCCAAAAUGAAGAAGAUAAGUUAGGCAUCUUGCCUCACACUUCAUCCAGUUUUUAAAGAAGAGGUGAAACCAAGGCGUGUCUACCGGGGGGGGUCUACAUUCCUACCCUACUUGUCAGAUAAGGAAACAAAUAGAUAAAGUAUAUGCUGAAACUGCUAAAACACCAGCCUCCCACUGAAGUAGGGCUAAAGCAAAUAGAAGGUACUCCAAAACAACCUGACAUGGUGUCCGAGAAUUAAUGAACUGUUGGGAAAUAUAACAUAUACCAUGCAGAUUAGGAGUCUAGUUCAUUAAAACAGCCAGAUACAGACUUGGGAGGAUCAGUAAGGAGUAAGGCAAGUUUUCUGGGUAGGGCCCCAGGUAAGUCCCAUCCUGCAUAAUUGAUCACAUGGUGUAGUGUACACACACCAUUUGAAUGGCAAUGCCCAUCAACUGGGGCAUUUUGCCCCCGGAAAUAUUUUAGGGGGAGCAAAGACCCUUGAACCCCUAGGAGUUGGGUCCUAUGUUUCUGGAUAUUUUUGUGUUGCGGAAAACAAAAUGGCAUCUCUAACUACCGUAGGUGGUACAGUUGGAAGACUAAAGAUCAUGGGAAGGGCUAUAGCACAGAGAUAAACAAGACAAGGCCAUGAAGAACUUUAAAGAAAAGUUGAAAGCAUUUGUGCUGGAUACAGAAUUGACACAAGAGCUAGCCCCAUCCCAUAAUCUUCUGGGUGGAGAGUAUUGGUGACCAGCAGCUGGCUGCCAAUGUUCUCUCCUGCUCUCUCUUGCUCUGCAGUUGUCCUCAUGUGGAAAAAAUGAAAUGGCCAAAGGCAAUGAAACCACAAGGGCCCAUAGCUGAGGAGCAUCACUUGUUCUGCAUUAUACAGAGAUGUGGAUUAUUUUGAUAACAGAGUUCUGGAUAAAGUUGAGAGGACUGAAGCAUAACAAUGGGCAGGCAAAAGAGACAAAAGUUACAGACAUCAACGCGAGUGUCAACCACAGCAUGAACCAGAGUUUUAGCCAAGGGAAAGAGAGAUAAAAAGAGCGGGAAGGUUACCACCAAGUAGCGUGACUUGGUGACAAGUUAAACACGGCGUGCAAAAUAGAGGGGGGAAUCAAUGCUAAUGCCAAGGCUUCAUGUCCAGUCAUCAGGAUGGGUGACGGAGACAAAAGGCUCAAAUGAGGGAAGAAGGCGUAGGAAGAAAACUGAGCAGAACAUGUCACAUUUGAGAAGUCAAUGAGAUGCCUACAUACAAAUGUCAGUUGAGUGAACACAUGUGUGGAAGUCUGUGCAGACAUGACAUGAAAAGUUGAAAGUUUUCACCAUAUAAGUGGUACUGAAAGUGACAGGAUUGUAUGAGGCUGCCUAGAGAAAAUAGAAGGUGACAAAGAACAGGUGGCAAAGAACAGGGCCAUGAUUAAACUGAACAAAGAGGAAAGACUGUGGAGGUUUCUCCUGUGAUAACACUAUCUCUAGUGAUAUCGCACCAAAGGAUGAUCAACAAAUUAAAAUCAUACAGCAGCUACCACAAUGAAUUUCACUUCUUUCAACAGGCAUGAAAACAAUCAUCAAGAAAUCCACCAAGAAAGCUAUUUUCAAGUAGUCCAUAGGGUGGGGUGGGGGGAACUGGGGAGCUCCUGGCAUAGGCUACAAAUGAAAGUCCAUAUAGUUCUUAUAAUAUUCAGAAAUCUUCAUGGAACAAGAGGAUUCCAUCAGUGGAUGCAACAGAAGUGGCGAGGUGGGUAGAUUUUGUGAGAGCACAAGACAGCUUGCUUAUCUUGCUUGAACCUAAGUCAAAUGGCAAACAAACUUCUCACAAUAGCAAUAAUGUGUGUCUGCUCACUAUAUAGAAGUUUUUACUCAUCUUUCAGUUUAUUGCAAGUGAAAUGUGAUACCACUGAAUUAAGCACACAAAAACGGAGUAAUUUGCAUCUCAAAUAAGCGACGCUGUUAAUUUUUACACAAAGUUUAGCAUGAAAAAAAUACAGUAUGUGCAAAAACACCGGGAAUAUACAUGUUAAAUAGGGUUCUGACAAAAAAAGAGUUCCACACUAAUUGCUGUACCCGCCGUACCCACUUAUGCCGUCACCCCUCUUAUUCUAGUAAUAGAAGCUGAAGAUUGCCAGCCAUUAAACACUGUUAGCAGCUGUGGCUAAUGCAAAAAGCAUUUUUAUUAGUUACACUCAAGUCCCAUCAAAUCUUUAAUUUGUAUUGCUGGUUUUCUCCCCUUUGAUCUCACGCUGCAUUUCUGAGGGAGGGGUGGUAAAGAAGAGCAGAAAGAAGCAACAAUAUAUAUAUAUUAGGAAGAGUAAAUGUGAAUUGAAGAGUGGGGGGUGAGAAAAUUGAAACUGGCUGAAAUAAGGAGAAUUCAAAAUAAUAAGUGAAAAUUUUAGAUUGCUUCCAGAUUGGGCGGGGGGGGGGUCCUUAACACUGCAAAUGGAUCAUGAGCAGCAGUAGCCCCACUCCUGAAGGGUUUGGAUCUGGCAUAUUUAACGCCAGCUUAAUUCAAGAUGUCAUAGAUUGCACUAGCUUUCCACACUUAUGAUUUCUUCCUAAAAGUCUUAUCCAGGUGAGCUGAUGCAUAAAUUUAUUAGGACAGUAGUGCUUGGAGAUCAUUUAUACAACAUUCCCUAAACCAAACUUGAUUUGUGCAAGGACAGGGCAGUGCCUAGCUUGCAUACCUGUGCCUGCCGAAUAAAGAAAGGCUCCAUGAGAAUUAUUAGUAUUAUUUAUAAGAUUUAUAUACCACCCUUCAUCAUAAGGGCAGUUCAAGUUCACAGAAUAAAAUAAAAGUAAAUAAGUAAAACAAAACAGCAAAACAAUAUUGGCCGCCGCCCCUUCGCACUGACACAUUUAAAAGGCUGUAGAAUAUUAAUCAGCCAAAGGUCUGGUUGCAGAAGAACCUUAUCGUCUGGCACCUUAAAAUAUAUAACGAAGGCAGCAGGCAAACCUCUCUGGGGAGAGCAUUGCACAAAUGGGGAGCCACUACAGGUAAGGCCCAUUCUCGUGUUGCCACCCUCCGGACCUCAUGAGGAGGCACACAAAGAAGGGCCUCAGAUGAUGAACACAGGGUCCAGGACAUUUUAUAUGGGAAGAGAUGGUCCUUGAGGAAUUCUGGUCCUGAGCUGUUUUAAGUCUUUAUAGGUCAAAACCAGCACUUUUAAUUGGUCCUAAAUUAAAUUGGUCUUGACUAAUUGGCAGUCAGUGCAGUUGGGCCAGGAUUGAUGUAAUAGUUGUGGGUGUGUAAUUUUGUGUGGAUCUUAGUUUAGAGCAGUGGUGGCCAAACUUG